CCGACGGUGAGAGGUGAAAGCUGGGGGAGCAAACCGGAUUAGAUACCCGGGUAGUCCCAGCUGUAAACGAUGCGCGUUAGGUGUAUCAGUGACCACGAGUCACUGAGGUGCCGAAGAGAAAUCGUGAAACGUGCCGCCUGGGAAGUACGGUCGCAGGGCUGAAACUUAAAGGAGUUGGCGGGGGAGCACCACAACAGGUGGAGCCUGCGGUUUAAUCGGACUCAACGCCGGAAAUCUCACCAGAUAAGACAGCUGAAUGAUAGUCGGGCUGAAGACUCUACUUGACUAGCUGAGAGGAGGUGCAUGGCCGUCGUCAGUUCGUACUGUGAAGCAUCCUGUUAAGUCAGGCAACGAGCGAGACCCCACGCCAACAGUUGC
rnacentral:rRNA from 1 species